AUUGAACGCUAGCGGGAUGCUUUACACAUGCAAGUCGAACGCGUGGCGGACGGUUGAGUAAUAUAUCGGAACGUGCCCCGUAUAGGGGGAUAACUCCUCGAAAGAGUGGCUAAUACCGCAUACUCUUGGAGCGGCCGAUAUCGGAUUAGCUAGGUGGUGGGGUAAAGGCUCACCAAGGCAACCAUCCGUAGCUGGUUUGAGAGGACGACCAGCCACACUGGGACUGAGACACGGCCCAGAGUCCUGCGGGAGGCAGCAGUGGGGAAUUUUGGACAAUGGGGGAAACCUUGAUCCAGCCAUCCCGCGUGUAUGAGAAGGCCUGCGGGUUGUAAAGUACUUUUGGCAGAGAAGCGGUAUCUGCAGAAUAAGCACCGGCUAACUACGUGCCAGCAGCCGCGGUAAUUC
rnacentral:rRNA from 1 species